CCAGGACUGGCUGAGCAGUGAAGUCAAGCAGCCUGUUGGAGACAGCAGCAUCCACUGAUGGAGAAGGUCACCUGAGGUUUGACCAAGUGUUUGACAGAUGCCCCUUGGUCUCUAAUCCGCCCCGGCUUAACUACCCUCAAACAGCAGCCAGAGAGAUCCGGAUUUCAUUUCCCCUGAGCCUGAUGUGAGCCUGAGAAGAGCAGUUCCAGAUCUGAUUGGAUGGUGCCAGAAUGUUCGGGAAAUAAGGAGUUAGAUGUAAACAUGAUUUAGACUCAAUGGCUGUGGGGGUUGAUUGAGAAAAUAACAGGGUGACUUUCCCAAGCAUCCAUCUGUGAAGUUUCAGCUCUCCUCCAG